AACUCUGGCAGCGGACCCGGCACUUCCAACAUUAUUAAAUAAUAAGAAAGCGGCUCCUACUCCAGGCUCAAACCUCCCUGCAGACCAAUGGACGCCUUCUAAGAGUUUGGCGAGUCAGUGACUGAAGCGCCCGUCCAUUCCAAGAGAUGGGGUUUCACUGUGUUAGCCAGGAUGGUCUCGAUCUCCUGACCUCGUGAUCUGCCCACCUCGGCCUCCCAAAGUGCUGGGAUUACAGGUGUGAGCCACCGCGUCUGGCCAGAGAAUCCAUCGGUCUACUGCAAGGUGACAUCUCAGCUAUCUAGGUGACCCAGUGUGAGACUGGAGGAAGAUGAAGGCAUCAGCUCAUCAGUGUCUAUGUACAGUUGGACCACACUGAGCAGCUGGAGACACCACUCCCUUGUCCUCAGGGAGCUUACAUUCUACUUGGGAGAUGCAAUUAAGAAACAAUGAAACAACAUGAGAUGAAGAAAGAAAAAAUUGUAUGAAACAUGAGAAAAUAUCUAAACAUUCUGAGAAGCAAGAAGGCUAUGAGGAGAUAUGUGACAGCAUUUUAGUGGCUUUCUUGAAUCAACAACUGCAUGAACAAGUAGAUU
rnacentral:sRNA from 1 species